UGCCAGCCGCCGCGGUAAUACGAAGGGAACUAGCGUUGUUCGGAUUUACUGGGCGUAAAGAGCAUGUAGGCGGAUUGGACAGUUGGAGGUGAAAUCCCGGAGCUCAACUCCGGAACUGCCUUUAAAACUGGUAAGCUAGAGGAUGUGAGAGGUGAGUGGAAUUCCGAGUGUAGAGGUGAAAUUCGUAGAUAUUCGGAAGAACACCAGUGGCGAAGGCGACUCACUGGCACAUUUCUGACGCUGAGGCGCGAAAGCGUGGGGAGCAAACAGGAUUAGAUA
rnacentral:rRNA from 1 species